GGUUAAGCGACUAAGCGUACACGGUGGAUGCCCUGGCAGUCAGAGGCGAUGAAGGACGUGCUAAUCUGCGAUAAGCGUCGGUGAGGUGAUAUGAACCGUUAUAACCGGCGAUUUCCGAAUGGGGAAACCCAGUGUGUUUCGACACACUAUCAUUAACUGAAUCCAUAGGUUAAUGAGGCGAACCGGGGGAACUGAAACAUCUAAGUACCCCGAGGAAAAGAAAUCAACCGAGAUUCCCCCAGUAGCGGCGAGCGAACGGGGAGGAGCCCAGAGCCUGAAUCAGUGUGUGUGUUAGUGGAAGCGUCUGGAAAGGCGCGCGAUACAGGGUGACAGCCCCGUACACAAAAAUGCACAUAUUGUGAGCUCGAUGAGUAGGGCGGGACACGUGGUAUCCUGUCUGAAUAUGGGGGGACCAUCCUCCAAGGCUAAAUACUCCUGACUGACCGAUAGUGAACCAGUACCGUGAGGGAAAGGCGAAAAGAACCCCGGCGAGGGGAGUGAAAAAGAACCUGAAACCGUGUACGUACAAGCAGUGGGAGCCUCUUAAUGGGGUGACUGCGUACCUUUUGUAUAAUGGGUCAGCGACUUAUAUUCUGUAGCAAGGUUAACCGAAUAGGGGAGCCGAAGGGAAACCGAGUCUUAACUGGGCGUUAAGUUGCAGGGUAUAGACCCGAAACCCGGUGAUCUAGCCAUGGGCAGGUUGAAGGUUGGGUAACACUAACUGGAGGACCGAACCGACUAAUGUUGAAAAAUUAGCGGAUGACUUGUGGCUGGGGGUGAAAGGCCAAUCAAACCGGGAGAUAGCUGGUUCUCCCCGAAAGCUAUUUAGGUAGCGCCUCGUGAAUUCAUCUCCGGGGGUAGAGCACUGUUUCGGCAAGGGGGUCAUCCCGACUUACCAACCCGAUGCAAACUGCGAAUACCGGAGAAUGUUAUCACGGGAGACACACGGCGGGUGCUAACGUCCGUCGUGAAGAGGGAAACAACCCAGACCGCCAGCUAAGGUCCCAAAGUCAUGGUUAAGUGGGAAACGAUGUGGGAAGGCCCAGACAGCCAGGAUGUUGGCUUAGAAGCAGCCAUCAUUUAAAGAAAGCGUAAUAGCUC
rnacentral:rRNA from 1 species